UACGAAGGGGGCUAGCGUUGCUCGGAAUCACUGGGCGUAAAGCGCACGUAGGCGGGUCGUUAAGUCAGGGGUGAAAUCCUGGAGCUCAACUCCAGAACUGCCCUUGAUACUGGCGAUCUCGAGUUCGGGAGAGGUGAGUGGAACUGCGAGUGUAGAGGUGAAAUUCGUAGAUAUUCGCAAGAACACCAGUGGCGAAGGCGGCUCACUGGCCCGAUACUGACGCUGAGGUGCGAAAGCCAGGGGAGCAAACGGG
rnacentral:rRNA from 1 species